rnacentral:lncRNA from 1 species
CGGCGUGAAUCAUCUUACUUCUAAAUUCGAAAAUUAUUCUAGACUUAGCUUGAGGAAACGGGGUAUUACAAAACCCUAAAUGGAUAAUCUAAACCCUAAAUGGAACAUCUAAACCCCAAAUGAAACAUCUAAACCCCAAAUGGAUAAUCUAAACCCUAAAUGGAAUAUCUAAACCCUAGGGGGAAGUGUGCACUUAUGGCACUUAUGGC